UCCAUGUUUACCCGAGAAGUGAGCGUUCCGAGUCGAAAUAUCUCGCACGUAGUGUUGCCGCUUUUCCGCGUGCGUGAUUGGCCGGUCGAAGCCGGGUGUGAUCGCGGGAGAUCGCGGCGAGCUUCGUACGUGUGUGUCGUGAGUGUCGUGAAAUCGUGAUGUGACAGUUCGCGUCGUGUCGUUAGGAGGUUAAUAAUAAUAUUAUAGAGAGCGAAGGGUUGAUGAUGAUGAUUAACGGCGAACUGGUAAAAGUAGAUCAAUUUCGGAGAGAAGAAAUAAUAAAUUGCACAUGUGGUUUUAUGGAAGAGGACGGUUUAAUGAUCUCUGUCUCUGCUGGCAACAUGGACAUUGUAAUUUUAUUGAAAAGGAAAAGGAUGUUUCUGAGAAAUAUACAUUUGUUACAUAUGUCAAAAUCCAUGUCGACUACGGCCGUCUAAGAAAUAUUAUCACGAUAAGGACUUGAUCAUGGAAGGAAAAUUGUCAAGCUUGUCUAACCAAACUCGAAAUCAGUAUAAGAUAAAUCAAAGGAUUGCAAUGUUGAAGCGUUCUUAUGACUUGGUUGCUGCACUUUUACAAAUUCAAUAACUUCUUCAUUGUUUGUGUGUAAAAAUCAACGUGGCACAUUAAGUUAUAAAGUUAUAUACGUCUGCCUUCUUAGAAAAGUUUUUUUGUCUGCAUUAUAACGACUAAUUAUGGAAGAGGACGGUUUAAUGAUCUCUGUCUCUGCUGGCAACAUGGACAUUGUAAUUUUAUUGAAAA